rnacentral:lncRNA from 1 species
AUCCAUCGGAAGAAGAAGACGACACGGCGGAGACGGCGAAGAUGGAGUUCGAGAAGGCCCUCCGCUGCCGCCACUUGAGGGAUUGGACGGUGGUCCUGAGGAUGAUGGAGGGUUUAGAGUAGGGGAUCCAGGAGGAGUGAUAGGUGCGGUAGGAGAUCCCAGUGUAGUUGGAGCCGGUGGAGACGGCUGAGUUGGAGCGGGUGGAGACGGCUUAGGAAGAGGCGGCGAAGAUCCCGGCGUAGAUAGAGUGGGUGGAGAUAGAUGAAGAACAGAGGGUGUAGAGGGAGAAGACGGAGGAGGAAAUGUGGGAAUAAUGGGUGGCGGCAAAGGAGAAGAAGAAGGUGUGGUGGCUGUGGAGUUUGAUAGUGGAGAUGGUGGCUAAUCCGGGAGACGGCUCUGAGGACAAGUUUGCUUUGCUUAGAUCUAAAUAAAAAAGGAGAGAGGAGGCUAGGGUAAAGUUAAAAUAGGAGGAGUGAUAGGUGCGGUAGGAGAUCCCAGUGUAGUUGGAGCGGGUGGAGACGGCUUAGGAAGAGGCGGCGAAGAUCCCGGCGUAGAUAGAGUGGGUGGAGAUAGAUGAAGAACAGAGGGUGUAGAGGGAGAAGACGGAGGAGGAAAUGUGGGAAUAAUGGGUGGCGGCGAAGGAGAAGAAGAAGGUGUGGUGGCUGUGGAGUUUGAUAGUGGAGAUGGUGGCUAAUCCAGGAGACGGCUCUGAGGACAAGUUUGCUUUGCUUAGAUCUAAAUAAAAAAGGAGAGAGGAGGCUAGGGUAAAGUUAAAAGGAGAGAGGAGGCUAGGGUAAAGUUAAUUGAAUUUAUGUUUUAAUCCUUUUUCUAUGGGGAUGAUUUUUUGAACAAUGAAGCUGUUAUGG